rnacentral:rRNA from 1 species
UCAAGUGAAGAAGCGCAUACGGUGGAUGCCUUGGCAGUCAGAGGCGAUGAAAGACGUGGUAGCCUGCGAAAAGCUUCGGGGAGUCGGCAAACAGACUUUGAUCCGGAGAUCUCUGAAUGGGGGAACCCACCUAGGAUAACCUAGGUAUCUUGUACUGAAUCCAUAGGUGCAAGAGGCGAACCAGGGGAACUGAAACAUCUAAGUACCCUGAGGAAAAGAAAUCAACCGAGAUUCCCUUAGUAGUGGCGAGCGAACGGGGAUUAGCCCUUAAGCUUCAUUGAUUUUAGCGGAACGCUCUGGAAAGUGCGGCCAUAGUGGGUGAUAGCCCCGUACGCGAAAGGAUCUUUGAAGUGAAAUCGAGUAGGACGGAGCACGAGAAACUUUGUCUGAACAUGGGGUGCAGGGGGACCAUCCUCCAAGGCUAAAUACUACUGACUGACCGAUAGUGAACCAGUACCGUGAGGGAAAGGCGAAAAGAACCCCGGAGAGGGGAGUGAAAUAGAACCUGAAACCGUAUGCGUACAAGCAGUGGGAGCCUACUUGUUAGGUGACUGCGUACCUUUUGUAUAAUGGGUCAGCGACUUAUAUUCAGUGGCAAGCUUAACCGUAUAGGGUAGGCGUAGCGAAAGCGAGUCUUAAUAGGGCGUUUAGUCGCUGGGUAUAGACCCGAAACCGGGCGAUCUAUCCAUGAGCAGGUUGAAGGUUAGGUAACACUGACUGGAGGACCGAACCCACUCCCGUUGAAAAGGUAGGGGAUGACUUGUGGAUCGGAGUGAAAGGCUAAUCAAGCUCGGAGAUAGCUGGUUCUCCUCGAAAGCUAUUUAGGUAGCGCCUCAUGUAUCACUCUGGGGGGUAGAGCACUGUUUCGGCUAGGGGGUCAUCCCGACUUACCAAACCGAUGCAAACUCCGAAUACCCAGAAGUGCCGAGCAUGGGAGACACACGGCGGGUGCUAACGUCCGUCGUGAAAAGGGAAACAACCCAGACCGCCAGCUAAGGUCCCAAAGUUGUGGUUAAGUGGUAAACGAUGUGGGAAGGCUUAGACAGCUAGGAGGUUGGCUUAGAAGCAGCCAUCCUUUAAAGAAAGCGUAAUAGCUCACUAGUCGAGUCGGCCUGCGCGGAAGAUGUAACGGGGCUCAAACCACACACCGAAGCUGCGGGUGUCACGUAAGUGACGCGGUAGAGGAGCGUUCUGUAAGCCUGUGAAGGUGAGUUGAGAAGCUUGCUGGAGGUAUCAGAAGUGCGAAUGCUGACAUGAGUAACGACAAUGGGUGUGAAAAACACCCACGCCGAAAGACCAAGGGUUCCUGCGCAACGUUAAUCGACGCAGGGUUAGUCGGUUCCUAAGGCGAGGCUGAAAAGCGUAGUCGAUGGGAAACAGGUUAAUAUUCCUGUACUUCUGGUUACUGCGAUGGAGGGACGGAGAAGGCUAGGCCAGCUUGGCGUUGGUUGUCCAAGUUUAAGGUGGUAGGCUGAAAUCUUAGGUAAAUCCGGGGUUUCAAGGCCGAGAGCUGAUGACGAGUCGUCUUUUAGAUGACGAAGUGGUUGAUGCCAUGCUUCCAAGAAAAGCUUCUAAGCUUCAGGUAACCAGGAACCGUACCCCAAACCGACACAGGUGGUCGGGUAGAGAAUACCAAGGCGCUUGAGAGAACUCGGGUGAAGGAACUAGGCAAAAUGGCACCGUAACUUCGGGAGAAGGUGCGCCGGCUAGGGUGAAGGAUUUACUCCGUAAGCUCUGGCUGGUCGAAGAUACCAGGCCGCUGCGACUGUUUAUUAAAAACACAGCACUCUGCAAACACGAAAGUGGACGUAUAGGGUGUGACGCCUGCCCGGUGCCGGAAGGUUAAUUGAUGGGGUUAGCGCAAGCGAAGCUCUUGAUCGAAGCCCCGGUAAACGGCGGCCGUAACUAUAACGGUCCUAAGGUAGCGAAAUUCCUUGUCGGGUAAGUUCCGACCUGCACGAAUGGCGUAACGAUGGCGGCGCUGUCUCCACCCGAGACUCAGUGAAAUUGAAAUCGCUGUGAAGAUGCAGUGUAUCCGCGGCUAGACGGAAAGACCCCGUGAACCUUUACUGUAGCUUUGCACUGGACUUUGAGCCUGCUUGUGUAGGAUAGGUGGGAGGCUUUGAAGCGUGGACGCCAGUUCGCGUGGAGCCAUCCUUGAAAUACCACCCUGGCAUGCUUGAGGUUCUAACUCUGGUCCGUGAUCCGGAUCGAGGACAGUGUAUGGUGGGCAGUUUGACUGGGGCGGUCUCCUCCUAAAGAGUAACGGAGGAGUACGAAGGUGCGCUCAGACCGGUCGGAAAUCGGUCGCAGAGUAUAAAGGCAAAAGCGCGCUUGACUGCGAGACAGACACGUCGAGCAGGUACGAAAGUAGGUCUUAGUGAUCCGGUGGUUCUGUAUGGAAGGGCCAUCGCUCAACGGAUAAAAGGUACUCCGGGGAUAACAGGCUGAUACCGCCCAAGAGUUCAUAUCGACGGCGGUGUUUGGCACCUCGAUGUCGGCUCAUCACAUCCUGGGGCUGAAGCCGGUCCCAAGGGUAUGGCUGUUCGCCAUUUAAAGUGGUACGCGAGCUGGGUUUAGAACGUCGUGAGACAGUUCGGUCCCUAUCUGCCGUGGACGUUUGAGAUUUGAGAGGGGCUGCUCCUAGUACGAGAGGACCGGAGUGGACGAACCUCUGGUGUUCCGGUUGUCACGCCAGUGGCAUUGCCGGGUAGCUAUGUUCGGAAAAGAUAACCGCUGAAAGCAUCUAAGCGGGAAACUUGCCUCAAGAUGAGAUCUCACUGGGAACUUGAUUCCCCUGAAGGGCCGUCGAAGACUACGACGUUGAUAGGCUGGGUGUGUAAGCGUUGUGAGGCGUUGAGCUAACCAGUACUAAUUGCCCGUGAGGCUUGACC